rnacentral:rRNA from 1 species
AUUGAACGCUGGCGGCAGGCCUAACACAUGCCAGUCGAGCGGAUGAAGGGAGCUUGCUCCUGGAUUCAGCGGCGGACGGGUGAGUAAUGCCUAGGAAUCUGCCUGGUAGUGGGGGAUAACGUCCGGAAACGGGCGCUAAUACCGCAUACGUCCUGAGGGAGAAAGUGGGGGAUCUUCGGACCUCACGCUAUCAGAUGAGCCUAGGUCGGAUUAGCUAGUUGGUGGGGUAAAGGCCUACCAAGGCGACGAUCCGUAACUGGUCUGAGAGGAUGAUCAGUCACACUGGAACUGAGACAGGGUCCAGACUCCUACGGGAGGCAGCAGUGGGGAAUAUUGGACAAUGGGCGAAAGCCUGAUCCAGCCAUGCCGCGUGUGUGAAGAAGGUCUUCGGAUUGUAAAGCACUUUAAGUUGGGAGGAAGGGCAGUAAGUUAAUACCUUGCUGUUUUGACGUUACCAACAGAAUAAGCACCGGCUAACUUCGUG